rnacentral:rRNA from 1 species
AUUGAACGCUGGCGGCAGGCCUAACACAUGCAAGUCGAGCGAGCGGCGGACGGGUGAGUAAUGUAUGGGGACUGCCCGAUAGAGGGGGAUAACUACUGGAAACGGUGGCUAAUACCCCAUACUGUCGGAUAACCCAUAUGGGAUUAGCUAGUAGGUAAGGUAAUGGCUGACCUAGGCGACGAUCCCUAGCUGGUCUGAGAGGAUGAUCAGCCACACUGGAACUGAGACACGGCCCAGACUCCUACGGAGGCAGCAGUGGGGAAUAUUGCACAAUGGGCGCAAGCCUGAUGCAGCCAUGCCGCGUGUAUGAAGAAGGCCCUAGGGUUGUAAAGUACUUUCAGGCGGGAGGCGUUACCGACAGAAGAAGCACCGGCUAACUCCGUGCCAGCAGCCGCGGUAAUAC